rnacentral:snRNA from 1 species
GGAUGUGAGGGCGAUCUGGCUAUGAUAUCCGUCACCCCAUCAACCGCCAGGGUUGAUUCGGCUGAUCUGGUUGGCUAGGCAGAUGUCCCCUUCCUCCCUCACCGCUCCACGUGCGUCCCUCCCGAAGCUGCGUGCUCGGUCGAAGAGAACGACCAUCCCCGGUACAGGAGGACCGGUCUUCGGUCGAGGGUCUACGAGGAGCUGCCUGUGAAUAGCUCCCCUGCUAGAACCUCCAAACAAGCUCUCAAGGUCCAUCAACAGCUUGUGAAUAUCCACCAAGAAAACCCUACUGAGACUGUCGUUGCAAUCACCCCACUGAGUCUGCUCAUCAGC